GAUGAAGAAGAAUCAUAGCCUCUUUGUAUCUCCGCCUCCAUUCUUCGAUUUGCUUCCCUGCAAUUCCUACGCUCUCCUUUUCUUUCCAAUUUGAAGCUGGCGCGUGCUGGAGCAGGAGGCGCUUUUCCCGCCAUAUCCAUAUGGAUUUGAUCUGAAACUGAGCCCACCGAUUAACUCGGGAGAGGCAUCUACAUAGUUGCUUCUUUCUUUUCCUCUUGUACUGAAUAAAUAUAAUUGCCCUUAUUUUUUAACACCACAAUCUGGAUUAGCAUAUUAAUUAUUUUAGCUUUUUAAAAUCUCGAGAGCAAAA